UACGGAGGAUCCAAGCGUUAUCCGGAAUCAUUGGAUUUAAAGGGUCCGUAGGCGGUCUUAUAAGUCAGUGGUGAAAGCCCCAUCGCUCAACGAUGGAACUGCCAUUGAUACUGUAAGACUUGAAUGCUUAGGAAGUAACUAGAAUAUGUAGUGUAGCGGUGAAAUGCUUAGAUAUUACAUGGAAUACCAAUUGCGAAGGCAGGUUACUACUAAGUGAUUGACGCUGAUGGACGAAAGCGUGGGGAGCGAACAGG
rnacentral:rRNA from 1 species